rnacentral:rRNA from 1 species
GUUUGAUCCUGGCUCAGAACGAACGUUAGCGGCGCGCCUAACACAUGCAAGUCGAGCGAGAAGGGGGCAACCCCUGUAAAGCGGCGCACGGGUGAGUAACACGUAGGUAAUCUACCUCGAGGUGGUGGAUAACCUUCCGAAAGGAGGGCUAAUACAGCAUGGGACCACGUCUUCGAAAGAGGAUGAGGUAAAAGCGGGCCUCUAUACAUAAGCUCGCGCCACGAGAUGAGCCUGCGGCCCAUCAUGGUAGUUGGUAGGGUAACGGGCCUACCAAGCCGAAGACGGGUAGCUGGUCUGAGAGGAUGAUCAGCCACACUGGAACUGAGACACGGUCCAGACUCCUACGGGAGGCAGCAGUGGGGAAUCUUGCGCAAUGGGCGAAAGCCUGACGCAGCGACGCCGCGUGAGUGAUGAAGGCCUUCGGGUUC